rnacentral:rRNA from 1 species
GACGAACGCUGGCGGCGUGCCUAAUACAUGCAAGUUGAGCGCUGAAGGUUGGUACUUGUACCAACUGGAUGAGCAGCGAACGGGUGAGUAACGCGUGGGGAAUCUGCCUUUGAGCGGGGGACAACAUUUGGAAACGAAUGCUAAUACCGCAUAAAAACUUUAAACACAAGUUUUAAGUUUGAAAGAUGCAAUUGCAUCACUCAAAGAUGAUCCCGCGUUGUAUUAGCUAGUUGGUGAGGUAAAGGCUCACCAAGGCGAUGAUACAUAGCCGACCUGACAGGGUGAUCGGCACCAUUGGGACUGAGACACGGCCCAAACUCAUACAGGAGGCAGCAGUAGGGGAUCUUCAGAAAUGGAAGAAAGUCUGACCGAGCAAAGCCGCGUGAGUGAAGAAGGUUUUCGGGUCGUAAAAAUCUGUUGGUAGAGAAGAACGUUGGUGAGAGUGGAAAGCUCAUCAAGUGACGGUAACUACCCAGAAAGGGACGGCUAACUACGUG